UGCAAGUCGAACGCGCAGCGAGAGGUGCUUGCACCUUUCAAGCGAGUGGCCAUUGGGUGAGUAACACGUGGAUAACCUGCCUCAAGGCUGGGGAUAACAUUUGGAAACAGAUGCUAAUACCGAAUAAAACUUAGUAUCGCAUGAUAUCAAGUUAAAAGGCGCUACGGCGUCACCUAGAGAUGGAUCCGCGGUGCAUUAGUUAGUUGGUGGGGUAAAGGCUUACCAAGACGAUGAUGCAUAGCCGAGUUGAGAGACUGAUCGGCCACAUUGGGACUGAGACACGGCCCAAACUCCUACGGGAGGCUGCAGUAGGGAAUCUUCCACAAUGGGCGCAAGCCUGAUGGAGCAACGCCGCGUGUGUGAUGAAGGCUUUCGGGUCGUAAAGCACUGUUGUAUGGGAAGAAAUGCUAAAAUAGGGAAUGAUUUUAGUUUGACGGUACCAUACCAGAAAGGGACGGCUAAAUACGUGCCAGCAGCCGCGGUAAUACGUAUGUCCCGAGCGUUAUCCGGAUUUAUUGGGCGUAAAGCGAGCGCAGACGGUUGAUUAAGUCUGAUGUGAAAGCCCGGAGCUCAACUCCGGAAUGGCAUUGGAAACUGGUUAAUUUGAGUGUUGUAGAGGUAAGUGGAACUCCAUGUGUAGCGGUGGAAUGCGUAGAUAUAUGGAAGAACACCAGUGGCGAAGGCGGCUUACUGGACAACAACUGACGUUGAGGCUCGAAAGUGUGGGUAGCAAACAGGAUUAGAUACCCUGGUAGUCCACACCGUAAACGAUGAAUAC
rnacentral:rRNA from 1 species